rnacentral:lncRNA from 1 species
CUACGUGCCAGGGCUGCAGAGCUGGUGAGGUCAGAACUGAGGUUUGAGCCCAGCGGACUCGGGCUGCACUCGUUGCUGGAGGGAGGCAGGGCCUGUAGAGGGGCUCCCUCUCCAGGAGCCCUUGAAAAGCCAUCGCCAGGACUGUCUCCCACACACGUCUCUUGUCCUCCUCUGGGCCCUUCUUUCCUAUGGACCAGAGUGUUUACAUGCAGGGAUCCCGAGGCAGGGGAGUACGGGCUGCACAACUGCUGAGGGAGCUGGACAGUCAGCGACAACGGAAGAUGAGGGAGAGAGCACUGGCUUCUUGUCUGAAUCUGCCUUGGGCUAGCUGCGACUUGUCAUCCGCUUUCUGAGCUUCAGUUUUCUCAUCUUCAAAAUAAAAGGCUGGGACCGAAGGAGCCAUGGGAUCUAUUUUUUCUCUAGAGUUUGACGGAAGGUGAAGUCGUGCUGGGAAACUGCAGGCUCCUCCUCUGAGCUCCAUCUUCUGACUAUUAGCUGACACCCUUUUCUCCAAGGAGGAGACUGGGGGUUUUCCUGCUUUCUGUUCCUUGCCCUUCCUUUUCAUCUCACCCGCAUCAGAGCUUGAGUUGUCUGGGUACUACCAGGAGCUGUAGGAUCAGGGGCCCAAGCUUCUCUCCUGGCCUAACGCAGCUGCCUUUCCCCGGGGGCGCUGCAGGAAUUGGACUGGCUUGGCACUUGCUCUCCGGUUCAGGAAUGGCUCUACAGUGGACAUCUUCCCUAAGAUCUCAGAAUUGUCACGGAUUGUCCUCUGAGCGAGCUCCUCUGGCCCGCGUUCCCUCCGCGCUGGCGGGGAUGGGCCUGCGCACACUGAGGCUGCAUCCCACAGGUGUGCUCUUCCCCACAGAGUGCGCUUCUGCUAAUGGGACUCCGUCAAGCACCGUCCUUCUGCUUUAGGAGCUCUCUACUGUAAUCCAAACUCCAUAAAUAAGCAAUUCCUUUGCAUAAUGAACGGAUAAGUCUGUUUCACGCACUUUUAUGUUGUUCCAAGUUUGGUUUCGCUAAAUUUCCACCUCAAAGAUAUGUAAUUAGAACCUCACCAAUCUCCUAUCUUGGCCUUCCCCACCCUCCUCUGGAAUCCACAACAAUCUCAGGCUGGUUUCUGACAGGAACAAACACAAAACAGGGUGUGUGUGUGACAGUGUGUGUGUGUGUGAGCAUGCGUGCGCACACACAUGUGUAUGUCUGUGUGUUGGUUUGUGUGGGUAGCCGGGCGGGGCUUCAG